rnacentral:rRNA from 1 species
GACGAGCGCUGGCGGCGUGCUUAACACAUGCAAGUCGAGCGGUAAGGCCCUUUCGGGGGUACGACGAGCGGCGAACGGGUGAGUAACACGUGGGUGACCUGCCCUCAGCUCUGGGAUAAGCCUGGGAAACCGGGUCUAAUACCGGAUAUGACUCCAUGACGCAUGUUGUGGGGUGGAAAGCCUUGUGCGGCUGAGGAUGGGCCCGCGGCCUAUCAGCUUGUUGGGGGGGUGA